GCUUUUUGCGAUGUGAUUUUAUCUGCCUUUUUCAUACUUGUGCGCACUCACUAAAGGCUUAUGGAGCUUAAAUAGGUUAUAAUUUGAAUAUUACUGCACUAAAUUCGGCUAUAUACAGUUCAUUAUUAAAAUAAUUGGACUAAUUAAGGCAUUGAAAGAUUGCUUGACGACUGAAAAUCCAGCUGCACUAGUAAUCAAAAAAGUAAAAUAGUAUAAAAGAGGUGCCGUCACGUCAAAAGAUUUGAAAUGUAGUUUUGAAAUGUUUGCAAUACUUCUAUAAAUCGUCAUCAUUUUAGUGAAGUAACAGUCCAACUCAACGAACACUUAAGAGUACUCGGUUUUAGUGGAGUUUACAUAUUAGUGUAUACUGAGACAAAACGGGUCACAGUCGCCGUUGACUAUCAUUUAAACACUUUGAUUCUCCUUGGAGAACCGUUAGAUCUCUAUGGCGUUAAUUUCAAAAUUUAAUUAAAUUGUUUAUUUACUUUCAUUCAUUUAUACAAACAUGUGCAUGUAUAUCUGUGUUUCAAGAAGAUAGCAGAUAGCAAACAUCACUGCCUAAAAGUUUGCUUAUCUCACCUUCUGAUUAAAAUUCAACACUCUUUUAUCAUUUUUAUUUCGCAUUUCGAAAAGAAACAAGAUAAUUUCACUUACCUAACAAUAUACUAACACAAUGUGAAUACAGUACAUAUGAUAUAUAUACAUAUAUGUAAAUAUGUGUGUAUAGCUUAUGUACAGUCGGACUCGCUCCUUUUGAGUUGGAACUAAUCGCAAUGCAAAUGCAGUUCAGCAAAUUCAUGUUUCGUUAGGGAAUGUGCAAAACUGCUAGUUGAAAAGUCGUUUCAAAUAAAUCAGCUGUGCCACAGCCCCAGGUGGGCUAUCGUGCUAUCGUGCGUGGUUGCGGGCACCUGAUGGCGAGCACGUUUUCAAGGCUGGUCAAGUCCAUUGGCAGCUCUUGGCGCACAGCCUAGAUGCCCCACGCAAUGCGUGCCUGCGAGAGUGCGGUAAAUGUGUGUAGAAGUAUGUAUUUACAUAUUUAUUUAUGCCGGUCGGUUUGCCAAUUACGUUUCUGACGUGAAUUUUUUUUUUAAAUAUUAAUAAAUAUAUUGAUAUAUGUAUGUGAAAAUUAGCAGUGACGUAUUAUUUAUACUCUGAUAGCAAGACACGUGAGAGCUACAAUGCGUAACUUGGACACGCCUUCAUUGCUGCUGUUGCAAGACCCGACCAAUGAGUUAAAUUGGUUGUUCUGGGGGUAAGCUACGGGAGUGUUCGUAGAAAUCAUAUAAUCACUUCUUUAGUAUGUAAUGGGACUUUCAUUAGCACCGUUAUACUCGUAUAAGAGAUAAAUGCAGUUUGCCUUUAUGAUUCAUUAUGUAAUAUAAGUGAACAAUUAUUUUAUAUACCUUUGUCAUGUUAGUUGGGCUGAAGUUGUCGCCUCGUGCUGUUGACUGUACUGGUUUUUCCGAUUUAAGUGGAGAGCGCGGAGGCAGAAGAACUUUCUUAAUGUCCGUUUUCUGUGAUUGCUGGUGCUGCAUUGACGUUUUAUCGGUGGAAUCGCUGACUGUUUUAGGGUGCCAGCGAACGGAAUAAAACAUUUCGUUCUGAAAUGAGUCAAAAUAAAAUUAUUGCUUUAUAUUAAAUUUGAAUAUUUAUUGUUUAUAGCUUUUGAAUAUCGAAAUUCGAUUUACAAUAAUAUUGCCACGAAUUGCACUUAAUAAAAGACUGCCUUUUGCCAGAAAUCACAAUUACCGUUUCAAUGUUUACUAUUUAGAAGAAAUUCAUGGAGAAAAAAAGAAUUAGUUAAUCCAGAACCUUUAAAAGAAUGGAACUUUGCAAACAUUGACAGCCUUUCAUUAAAUAGUAGUAUACGGGGCCAUGUAGAUAUUGGCACAUAGUCAUUCACCUUUUGAUUAUUUCCACCUGAAAUAAGUGGCUGUUGUGGCAGUUGUUGUUGGUGCAAUACUACAAUACUAGAAUUACUAUUAACGUUAUAAUUUGCAUUGUUGUCCCCUUUGAUGGCGCUGCUCUCAUUGAAGUUAUCAGCAUCGCCG